rnacentral:rRNA from 1 species
CUGGAGUCUGCAACCCGACUCCACGAAGUUGGAUUCGCUAGUAAUCGCGCAUCAGCCAUGGCGCGGUGAAUACGUUCCCGGGCCUUGUACACACCGCCCGUCAAGCCAUGGGAGCCGGGGGCGCCUGAAGUCCGGGACCGCGAGGACCGGCCUAGGGCGAAACUGGUAACUGGGGCUAAGUCGUAACAAGGUAGC